rnacentral:rRNA from 5 species
GGGUUGUGAGGUUAAGCGACUAAGCGUACACGGUGGAUGCCCUGGCAGUCAGAGGCGAUGAAGGACGUGCUAAUCUGCGAAAAGCGUCGGUAAGGUGAUAUGAACCGUUAUAACCGGCGAUGUCCGAAUGGGGAAACCCAGUGUGAUUCGUCACACUAUCGUUAACUGAAUACAUAGGUUAACGAGGCGAACCGGGGGAACUGAAACAUCUAAGUACCCCGAGGAAAAGAAAUCAACCGA